rnacentral:misc_RNA from 1 species
CCCCUCUCUGCUUCUGUUAGAUUUUUUCCUCUGUCAAAAGCACAAUUUUUUUUUUCCUCUUGUGCAGUGCUCUUUUCCUUUCAAUUUCCCCAUCAAAUCCAGUCUCAGACUUCGCUUAAACCUCACCUAGUUACAGCUUUUGAUCUUUCUUCCCUCAUGCUUCAACUCCCAGAAAUUAGAUAUACAUUUCUUCCCUUUCUCUUUCUCUCUCUACUGUAAGAAGCUCUGAAUUUUAUGUAAAAAUAUAAAGAAAUUAGCUCGAAAGUGAUAUAAGUGAGAAAGAGAAAGUGGGAUGUCGAAUUUGCAAGUGAAUUUCAAUCAGAAGAUAGACUACGUGUUUAAAAUCGUACUGAUCGGAGACUCUGCGGUCGGAAAAUCACAGCUCUUGGCUCGAUUUUCAAGGAACAAGUUUAGUUUGGAUUCGAAAGCUACGAUCGGAGUUGAGUUCCAGACUAAAACAUUCGUUAUUGAUUACAAAACCAUCAAAGCUCAGAGUUGGGACACCGCAGGUCAAGAACGGUACUCUUUCUUUCUCUCCCACUUGGAGUUUAGGUGAAUAGUUUUGAUUAAAGAGAGAAAAAGAACAAAAAUUUUUGGAUAUUGAGCUGUGAUUUAGUUUAUUUGCAUGCAUCAUAAUGAACACAAGAAGAAGCUAACUCUUUACCUGUAUGUGCUUGAAUGAUUCUCUUGAAAUAUUACUCUUCUAAAUGAUAGUUUUAUGCUGUCCAGUAAAUGCGUGAUAUAAAAAAUAAAUGAAAGAUUCUGUCACUGUGAUUUUCUAUUAGGGAAGUAUGUGAUUAGCAGCGGAGUUUGUAUCCACAUGCUAGUGCAUUACAACAGGUGCUGGUCUCUUGAAUACUUGUUUCUUUUGUAAUGCCUGUGCAGAAAUUAUCGACAUAAUUCCUUAAUGUAUGUAAUUCACAGGUCAAGCAAUGGUGGAUGGGUGAUGAGUGAAUCUACCUGAAAAAUUUUCUUUUUGAUGCCACAGAAUUGUCUCGGAAUUUAAUGAGUUGUGGUUGGAACUAGGCAGAGUAGAAAAUAAGGUGCUGUAAUGGUUGAAAUGAAGAUGGGAAAAGGCAUUGAUAUUUUUUGCCCUGCAAGUAUCAUGCAUCUUUGGGAUGUUUUGCAUUACCAUUUUGUCAUUUGUUGGUUUGAAACCAUAUAUUUCUGAAGUAAAAUACUGGGAUAGAAAGAGACAAAUGCUUAAUAUGAUAAGUUCAGUUAUGUGAGUAUGUUGUGUGAUGGAUCGGAAGAUUAUCUAUGAUUCUAGUAAUCAGCACAUAAGAGGACCUGCAAACAUCACAAAAUUGAAGUGGUUGCUAACAUUUGAUAGAAGAACUGUGAGGAAACCCUUGAGGAUCAGUAACCUAGUGCAAACUGAAGAGAGUGAAGAUAAUAAAACGAUGUUGUGAAUUUGUGAUUAGUUGAAAAUGGUUUAAUUAGGUUGAACUAGACAGAAUUUCUGUUCCUUCAGAAAGUUGGAUAGGCACAUAUAUGGGUGAGUGAGAAAAAGUCACCUUCUAAUUUCUGUUACCCAUGACCUGUGUUUAUAUGAUAUAUCUGCAUUAAUCUUCUGUAUGCUGAACAGGGUACUUACAUGGCUGCUUCUACAAUUAAGUCCUGAUAAUGGAUGCAUUUAUUGAUUGUGUAAAUAGUUGUGGUAAUCUUAGUUAUCGGGCAGUGACAAGUGCAUACUACAGAGGCGCAGUGGGGCAAUGCUGGUCUAUGACAUAACCAAGCGUCAGUCAUUUGAUCAUAUAGCCAAGUGGUUAGAGGAAUUGCGGGAGCAUGCUGAUAAUAACACCAUCAUCAUGCUUGUAGGUAACAAGUCUGAUCUGGAGACCCUUCGAGCUGUGCCAACUGAGGAUGCCAAAGAAUUUGCCCAAAAGGAAAACCUCUUCUUCAUGGAGACGUCAGCCCUUGAGUCCACUAAUGUUGAAUCGGCUUUCCUUUCUGUCCUGACAGAGAUUUAUCGAACUGUCAGCAAGAAGAGCCUUGUUGCAAAUGAUGAACAUGAAUAUGGAGGAAAUGCUUCACUUCUCAAGGGAACCAAGAUUGUUGUCCCUGGAAGAGAGCCAGAAUUGGGAGCAAGGAGUUCAGAUUGUUGUCGAUCAUAGGAUUAAUUUCCUUCCAUGCUGCACCUCACACUUUUCUACUGUUUAUAUAAUUUCAGGUAACCUGCUGUUUUAUAGCUUCAGAAUCAACAUGGUUUCGUAAUUUAUAGUAGAAGUGCAUGCGUUUUCAUGCUUAACAUGACUACAGUUCUUUUUGUGAUGAUAGAUCAUUGUAUUCUGUAUAUCAGGUGUCGAGUUUCUACACUUUCUCAAGAACGUACUGGCACACUUGCAUAUAGAGCUUGUAGUUCAAACUUGAAAUGUUGUGAUAUACACAAGAUUACAUGGUUGUGAACCAAAAUUUGCACAUCACAUUAUAAUUAGUUAGCUGUGGUUGGCAGCUGAAACAGAAAUGUUUCUCUUAUAUUUUACAACAUACAUGAACAUAUGCCAUUAUAUUUUACAACAUACAGCCUUAUAUGAAUUUUGGCAAGGAAAGUGUUGACAUUAGAGGAUAUCAUAUUUGAUUAUUUCUAGAUGACUUUGAAUGGGAUAUGGAUUAUACUGUUCAAUUUAGGAUCACUUUUAAAAUCUGGUGACUGUCCAAUUUCUUUGUGGUGUAGUGAGUUGCUUUUAUUUUUGUUCGUAUGAGCUAUUAUAUCAGGGUUCUUAUUAUAUCACAGUAAACUCUUGUGAAGGUAAUUGUUUGACUCUUCUCAUCUACACAAUUCUGGUGAAGGUAAUUAUUUAGUAUGAUGCACGAAGUAAGACAAUUUAUUUAUGUGAAUCUAUCACAGAGCAUGAGGAUUUAGAUCAAGCUAUUAUAGAGUACAAACUUGUAAUUUUUUUUUUAAAAAAUAAUUGAAAUGUAUUAUUUUUUAGAAUAAUUUAAAUGUAAUAUUCUUUCGACAA